CCCCUCUCAGGAUCACUCCUGGAGAGUUUCCAGUACUCUACCAGUCUGUUAUGGGAAGGAGAGUGAAGCAGAGGCAUAUCCAUUCCAUUCCUAGCUUGGGCAGUGGCUAGUGAGUGGAAGGCAAUCUGCUACAAGU
rnacentral:snoRNA from 2 species